rnacentral:lncRNA from 15 species
AUGGACAUCAUUCAGCCUCUGAUGGAUAUGGCCAAUGGAGUCAUUGUACCUGCGCCUGCACUGGAAGUUCCCACUGACCACCAACGAGAGACACAGCCUCCUGUCACUAGUGCCUCAGUUGUGCCUGUUGUACCCCAGCUACCCAGUCCUGAUGCCUUAGCUGCUGUGGCACAGCUGUUUCAGUCCCCCCAUGGUCAGGAGCUGCAGAGGAUGCUCCAGAACUUCCAGCAGGCAGAUAAAACUCUGGCAGCCACCAUUGCAAACAACAUACCAAACCCACCCCAGAUGCCUGUGGCCCAGCUCCACCCAUACAGUGAACACACAGAAAAGAAAAGCUCUUUAGCCGAGGUACUGCGCUGUGAUCAUAUACAAAUACAUUUACUAACCUAUGUAAUAGGGCUGGGCAAUACGGCUUAA